rnacentral:rRNA from 1 species
CACGGGGGGAGCAAGCGUUGUUCGGAAUCACUGGGCGUAAAGGGCGUGUAGGCGGUUGUGUAAGUGGGGUGUGAAAUGCCUCGGCUUACCCGGGGACCUGCAUCCCAUACUGCAUGACUUGAGUACGGGAGAGGAUGAGGGAAUUCCUGGUGUAGCGGUGAAAUGCGUAGAUAUCAGGAGGAACACCGGUGGCGAAGGCGCUCAUCUGGCCCGAUACUGACGCUGAGGCGCGAAAGCUAGGGUAGCGAACGGG